rnacentral:rRNA from 1 species
GACGUAGGGCGCGAACGUUGUCCGGAUUUAUUGGGCGUAAAGAGCUCGUAGGCGGCUUGUCGCGUCGUCCGUGAAAACUUGGGGCUCAACCCCAAGCUUGCGGUCGAUACGGGCAGGCUAGAGUUCGGUAGGGGAGACUGGAAUUCCUGGUGUAGCGGUGAAAUGCGCAGAUAUCAGGAGGAACACCGGUGGCGAAGGCGGGUCUCUGGGCCGAUACUGACGCUGAGGAGCGAAAGCGUGGGGAGCGAACAGG